ACCGAAAUAGCUCAGUCGUUAGAGCGUUAGAGCCGUUAGACUAUAGAUUGAAAGGUCCCUGGUUCGAUCCCGGGACUCGGCA
rnacentral:tRNA from 1 species